rnacentral:rRNA from 1 species
AUUUACGGCCAUACCACCCUGAGCACGCUCGAUCUGGUCUGAUCUCGGAAGCUAAGCAGGGUCGGGCCCUGGUUAGUACUUGGAUGGGAGACUGCCUGUGAAUACCAGGUGCUGUAAGCU